rnacentral:rRNA from 1 species
GACGGAGGAUGCAAGCGUUAUCCGGAGUGAUUGGGCGUAAAGCGUCCGCAGGUGGCAGUUCAAGUCUGCUGUCAAAGACCGGGGCUUAACUUCGGAAAGGCAGUGGAAACUGAACAGCUAGAGUAUGGUAGGGGCAGAGGGAAUUCCUGGUGUAGCGGUGAAAUGCGUAGAGAUCAGGAAGAACACCUGCGGCGAAGGCGGGUUGCUGGGCUGAUACUGACGCUGAGGCGCGAAAGCCAGGGGAGCGAACGGG